CUAGCUGAGUCAAGGAGAAGUGUCAAUGGUAGCAAAACUCUCCAUCCAGGGAGGGAAUACGUCACUCUUUGCUACAUGGCUACAGAGCAAGGCCACUGGUUAAACAGUAAUCUCUGGGAUCCUAGGACUUGGAUCUUGUGCCCCUCUGGCUGGAGCCCCAGGCACUUUGGGAGGAAUAACAGGAUGCAGCAGGGCUUUCCUGAAGUCUUUAAUAUGAUGUUCCAAGAGAAAGAGACACAUUGUCUGGACGCCAGUGGCCUCAGCCCACCAAGACUAGGUUAAUGAAUCACAAAAGGGCUGAUCCUGACGAAUGGACAUGACCCAGAUAUCCGGGACCCCAUGCUGUCUGCAGGAGGUGGAUAAGACCUCCGGGAAAGGAUCUCUGCUGCUCUUGACAAGACAACCUUCUUUAGGGGAAAUGCUCCUCCCUCAAUUCUCCUGAUACAGGUCUGAGAGUUUGGCUUAUCUCACACACAUACACACACACACACACACACACACACACAAGGAUAGGCGGUAAUGCCAUCCAGGACAACAAGAAUCCUCUCCUGGAGUCUUCUAAUCUGAGAGAGGAAAGGCACAACCUCUCGAGUGACAAGGCUGAGGAUGUGAGUUGGCAGCCACUGGCACCUUGAGCAGUGGCUAUUCUAUAGGAGGAGGGAAUGAAGACCACACUCUGAGAGGAGCCAGGAGAUGGAGAAGCCAAGGGUGGACGUCUCGGUGGCAGUUCAGCUUCUGCUCUCCCCUUUCUUCUUUUUGCUGGGCUGUGCUGGUCUUUGUUGCAGCACAUUCCAGGGGCUUCUCCAGCUGCAGUGUGAGGGCUACUCUAUUUGCUGCGUGCAGGCUUAGAUGCCCCAUGGCAUGUGGGGUCUUAGUUCCCCAAUCAGAGGUCAAAUCUGCAUCCCCUGCAUUGGAAGAUGGACUCUCAAUCC